rnacentral:rRNA from 1 species
AGAGUUUGAUCCUGGCUCAGGAUGAACGCUAGCGAUAGGCCUAACACAUGCAAGUCGAGGGGCAGCAUAGAGUAGCAAUACUUUGAUGGCGACCGGCGCACGGGUGAGUAACACGUAUGCAACCUACCUACAUCAGGGGAAUAACCCGGAGAAAUUCGGACUAAUACCGCAUAAUACAGGGAUGCCGCAUGGUAAUAUUUGUUAAAGAUUUAUCGGAUGUAGAUGGGCAUGCGUUCCAUUAGCUAGUUGGUAAGGUAACGGCUUACCAAGGCAACGAUGGAUAGGGGAACUGAGAGGUUUGUCCCCCACACUGGAACUGAGACACGGACCAGACUCCUACGGGAGGCAGCAGUGAGGAAUAUUGGUCAAUGGACGAGAGUCUGAACCAGCCAAAUCGCGUGAAGGAAGACUGCCCUACGGGUUGUAAAUUUCUUUUGUUCAGGAAUAAAAGACAUUACGUGUAAUGUAUUGCAUGUACUGUACGAAUAAGCAUCGGCUAACUCCGUGCCAGCAGCCGCGGUAAUACGGAGGAUGCGAGCGUUAUCCGGAUUUAUUGGGUUUAAAGGGUGCGCAGGCGGGAUUUUAAGUCAGCGGUGAAAUUUUCAGGCUCAACCUGAACACUGCCGUUGAAACUGGGAUUCUUGAGUAUGGAUGAAGUAGGCGGAAUUCGUUGUGUAGCGGUGACAUGCUUAGAUAUAACGAGGAACUCCGAUUGCGUAGGCAGCUUACUAAGCCAUAACUGACGCUCAAGCACGAAAGCGUGGGGAUCAAACAGGAUUAGAUACCCUGGUAGUCG